CACGCCGUAAACUAUGAUUACUAGUUGUUUGCGAUAUAUUGUAAGCGACUGCGCGAAAGCAUUAAGUAAUCCACCUGGGGAGUACGUUGGCAACAAUGAAACUCAAAGGAAUUGACGGGGGCCCGCACAAGCGGAGGAACAUGUGGUUUAAUUCGAUGAUACGCGAGGAACCUUACCUGGGCUUAAAUGGGGAGUGACAGGCUUGGAAACAGGCUCUUCUUCGGACACUCUUCAAGGUGC
rnacentral:rRNA from 1 species